UACGUAGGGGGCAAGCGUUGUCCGGAUUUAUUGGGCGUAAAGAGCUCGUAGGCGGCUCAGUAAGUCGGGUGUGAAACCUCCAGGCUCAACCUGGAGACGCCACUCGAUACUGCUGUGGCUUGAGUCCGGUAGGGGAGCACGGAAUUCCUGGUGUAGCGGUGAAAUGCGCAGAUAUCAGGAGGAACACCAGUGGCGAAGGCGGUGCUCUGGGCCGGAACUGACGCUGAGGUGCGAAAGCGUGGGGAGCAAACAGG
rnacentral:rRNA from 1 species